UACAGAGGUCUCAAGCGUUGUUCGGAUUCAUUGGGCGUAAAGGGUGCGUAGGCGGCGCGGUAAGUCGGGUGUGAAAUCUUGGAGCUUAACUCCGAAACUGCAUUCGAUACUGCCGUGCUUGAGGACUGGAGAGGAGACUGGAAUUUACGGUGUAGCGGUGAAAUGCGUAGAUAUCGUAAGGAAGACCAGUGGCGAAGGCGGGUCUCUGGACAGUUCCUGACGCUGAGGCACGGAAGGCCCAGGGGGAGCAAAACGGGG
rnacentral:rRNA from 1 species